rnacentral:rRNA from 1 species
UACAGAGGUCUCAAGCGUUGUUCGGAUUCAUUGGGCGUAAGGGGUGCGUAGGUGGCGCCGUAAGUCGGGUGUGAAAUUUCGGAGCUUAACUCCGAAACUGCAUUCGAUACUGCGGUGCUUGAGGACUGGAGAGGAGACUGGAAUUCAUGGUGUAGCAGUGAAAUGCGUAGAGAUCAUGAGGAAGACCAGUGGCGAAGGCGGGUCUCUGGACAGUUCCUGACACUGAGGCACGAAGGCCAGGGGAGCAAACGGG